rnacentral:lncRNA from 1 species
AGAGGAGCGCUGUUUCUGGAGGAGUUAGGGGAAGGAGGCUGCCUGGUAAGCCAGGAAAGGGGCUUCUGGCCGUUCUGUUGGAGCGCCUCUGACUGACUUCCCCCAUGUGUCCGUGUGGCCACACCGUGCUACUUUCAGAGGCAGUGGGCUUUUCGCUAAGGGAUAAAAAGAAGUAAAACCUUGCCUUUAGCGCAGCUCUCCUUCACUGGGCAGAUUGCUCUCCCUCCCCACUCUCCCAGGCCCAAAUUGGAUCUCAGCGCCUGGGAGCUCCAACUUUAGCAAGUGCGAAAUCCUGUCUUCGGUUUUGGAAUUUUCAUCCGCACAGACUAUAUCAGCCACGGAUAGGAUAUGUGAGAAUACCAGCAUGUCAAGGCUGGGAAUCAUCCUUAGGCAUCACCUAGCCAGUCCUGCCUCUCAUUUUAAGGUAAGAAUAGGCAUUUAACAUUGUAAGAUGAUGUAGUGGGUUCUGUUGGCAUCACUUAGAUGCCCAGGAAAUGUGUAUUCUUCCAUCGAUUUCUCGAUUGUUCACUGUUUGGCUGCGUUAGUCCACGGAGAAUUGUCCUGGCCAACAGGCACCCCUCUUCACUUGGGAAGGUUUAUUUCCCUCUUCCAUCCCUCCUCAGCCCCUCAGCUUAUAGCCUGUAGCCAUUGACUGGUUGGUAAGGGGGUACAAAAUGUCAGCCCCCUUGCUCCUAGAUGGAACCAACUCUGUGGUACGAUUGAAGCUCCCUGUGAGAUCUGGCUGAGGCUUCUGCUGAGACCACAUUCGUGCUCAGCUUGCUUCCUCUGCCCUAUCUGCUGGCUGCCCCAUUCCCUUUUUCCCUGAGAGUAAUAAUCCCUCAAAGAAUUUCUGAGACAAGAAUCCCCGUCUCAGGCUCUGCUUUUAGGGAAUCUGACUUAAGACGGAAAACUUGCUGAAUAAAUUAAUGAAGACCCAGGAUUUUUCUCUGGAGAAUGAAAACUGACAGUACAUUUGCUUCAGCUUUGGUCACCUGUACCUACAUUAAGGAGAUGCAGAGUGUUCAUAUGAGGAGAGACUUUCCCUUGUCUCCGUCAUCUGUGAUUUCACUUCCCUGACAGAAGACGAAGCUUCCAUCUCAGAUGUUUUCUUAAAUGAUGAAACAGCAUACGCCUCUGUUCUUGUCAGCUCAGGGAAAACAGAUCUGGGGACCUCUUCAUCUCUGCGUUGGGAAGCAUAGGUGGUAUAAUCCCCUCCUGUCACGUCCAACGUUGCAUAGUCAGAAGCUUCGCCCUUGUAGUUGGUGCACACAGCACGGU